UCUCCGUAGGUGAACCUGCGGAGGGAUCAUUCACAUGAUUUACUUUUCAAAACAAACCGUGAACUUUAUUUACUAUUCGUAGAAAAAUGUGAUUAACUGAAAUAUUGUUAUGAUUUGUUUUUUCUACUGUCAUUCGAUGAACAUUAGAUGGCUGGAUAUUUGUUUAUCUCAGUCGAUUUGUUUUGUAUUGACUAAACAUCUUACACAAACAAUCACCAAAAAACAUAGAAAUAACUCUAUGCCCUGGAUAUCUUGGUUCUC
rnacentral:misc_RNA from 1 species